UGAACUCGGGACCUCUGGAAAGAGUAGUCAGUGCUCUGAGCCAUCUCUCCAGCCCUAGAAUCUGUAUUUAUGCCAGGCAAAAUGGCACACACCUUCUAUCUCAACACUUGGGAGGUAGAGUAGCAGGAGAAUCAGAGAAGUUCAGUGUCACCUUCAGCUCUGUCAUGAGUUCAAGGCCAGCCUGGAUCAUAUGAGAUUCACUCUCAAAAAAACAAAGCAGUUCAUAUAAUGUAAAACAAUGCACCAGACACUACCCUAAAGUCAUUCUUUUCAGGGCUCCAUGGAAAGCCUGCCUAGCUGCUUAGACCAGAGCAAUAAAUAAACAAACAAAUAUCACACCAAAUGACAAAACCAAGUUCUCCAAGUUCUCCAUCCUGUUACUUCGUUACACUUAUCAGCAACCACAAAAUGAUGUAAUUACCCCCUUCCAAACAGAAUAGCUUUUAAUUUCUAAGAGUCAUAUCUAAAUUACCGAGCAUGCCUAAAUACAGAAUGCUGUCCUAGAAUUAUCUGUUAGAUUGACUGACAGCCAUAAAACUAAAAGAGAAGAACGAGCAUUCAUUAAGCAGAGAGAGCUGUCUUGCUGUGACUGUAGAAUUCAGCAGUGGGCCUCCUGAAGGACAGGCUCUCUGGAAGAGGCGGUGACACUCUUCUGUGGCCAGACGGUAUCGACAGGUCUCUGCUCUCCAGAGUAGGAUCUGAACUGAGGAGUCUUGCGGUCAUCUGAGAGGGAGGGUGAGGAGAGGGGGGUGCAGUGGCCAAGUCUGGCGGCAGGUGAAGGAGGUCAGUACGUGUGGCGAGCCUCAGGUGGUCAAGAGAGAUGCCAGACCUUGAACUUCUGGUUGGAGUGGUUCCCCGGGGGCUAUGGAGGAGAAUGAAACACAAUCCAAAUAGUUAAUAGUUCCUACCCACCGGUUCUCUCUUAGAGGGAGGGGGGAGGAAGAGAGAGAAAGAGAGAGAGGUACACUAAGGUGCUCCCUUAAAGGGUGACAUCAACAGAAUUUUCGCUAGUAUUUUCCACUUUCAAGGAGGCACUGGUGACAUAGAUGGGUGCCACAAUCCCAUCUGUUCCGUUGUCCUUUUCCAAUUCUUCCCACCACGUGCACUUUAAUGCCUCACGGCUCUCCUCUACGUGUCUCAUGGAUCCAUGCCACCUUGUACCCCAUGGUUGAUGGAUAAUAGCUCUUAGGGCUCUAAGCCCAGGUGUCUCACCUCAGAAAUCACUGCCACUGGUAUAAGUGGACUGCAGAUCUUCCACCUGGAUGGCACUGAUGCCGCUGUGGGCAAUAUGGGUGAUUCCUUCGGGACAGAUGGCCUCCAUACUGGGGGUAAUAAAGGCUAAGUAGAGGCAUUAUUGCAGCCUUCCAAACUUGCCCCAUUGUCCAGAGGCAAGGUUCCUCCACCCAGGGACACAUCAGGGCCUCCUUUCUUAACCUGAUGAGCCUUGCUAGCUUUGACAGAUGGCCACUCUUUAUGAAGCACUCAUAGCAGGCAAAUUUCUUCUCACCUGUGCAUGUGUGUUUCUUCAGCUCAUCUGAAUGUGCCAAGGGCUUCCCACAGCAUGGCCAGGAAUACUCAAACAUGCCUUGCCUCUACAUGCCAGCUCCACGUCACUGGAGAUCAUCAGGCUCCUGUAGGCCACUGACCUGGAGAAUCCGGCUUUGAGAACUGGUCCCUGAUUAUCUACUGGUAGCAAACUUUGUCACUUUCGUGUUGCUGAUGGUAGUGGUUGCUGAGUGCCUAUCGACUUUGGUACAAAAGGAGCUGGAACUAGCGUGUGAGGACCGUGAGAUGGCAGAACCAAUGGAAGUCCCUGAGGUGCUGUGGGCUGCUCUCCUGGGAUCCAAAGUUGCUGAUCGUGACCGCCUGAGAACUGGGAGUCUGGGUAGUCAAGGCACCUGCUGAAAUGCUGCUGACAGAGUAGCAAAAUAACGCUUUCUUUCAGGGCCACUGGUCCAUCGGUCACAUAAUAAAGCAGUCUGAGAGCACUUUA